rnacentral:rRNA from 1 species
CGCCAGCAGCCGCGGUAAUACAGAGGUCCCGAGCGUUGUUCGGAUUCACUGGGCGUAAAGGGUGCGUAGGUGGCCAGGUAAGUUUGAUGUGAAAGCUCGGAGCUUAACUCCGAAACGGCAUUGAAUACUAUCUGGCUUGAGGGUUGGAGGGGAGACUGGAAUUCUCGGUGUAGCAGUGAAAUGCGUAGAUAUCGAGAGGAACACCAGUGGCGAAGGCGAGUCUCUGGACAACACCUGACACUGAGGCACGAAAGCUAGGGGAGCAAACAGGAUUAGAUACCCUGGUAGUCCUAGCUGUAAACGGUGCACGUUUGCUGUAAGAGGAAUCGACCCCUUUUGUGGCGAAGCUAACGCGAUAAACGUGCCGCCUGGGGAGUACGGUCGCAAGAUUAAAACUUAAAGGAAUUGGCGGGGGAU